rnacentral:rRNA from 1 species
GACGAACGCUGGCGGCGUGCUUAACACAUGCAAGUCGAACGGAAAGGCCCUGCUUUUGUGGGGUGCUCGAGUGGCGAACGGGUGAGUAACACGUGAGUAACCUGCCCUUGACUUUGGGAUAACUUCAGGAAACUGGGGCUAAUACCGGAUAGGAGCUCCUGCUGCAUGGUGGGGGUUGGAAAGUUUCGGCGGUUGGGGAUGGACUCGCGGCUUAUCAGCUUGUUGGUGGGGUAGUGGCUUACCAAGGCUUUGACGGGUAGCCGGCCUGAGAGGGUGACCGGCCACAUUGGGACUGAGAUACGGCCCAGACUCCUACGGGAGGCAGCAGUGGGGAAUAUUGCACAAUGGGCGCAAGCCUGAUGCAGCAACGCCGCGUGCGGGAUGACGGCCUUCGGGUUGUAAACCGCUUUCGCCUGUGACGAAGCGUGAGUGACGGUAAUGGGUAAAGAAGCACCGGCUAACCACGUG